UCCGGACACCAUACCGUAAAUAUACUAGAUUAAUAGCCAAUAAUCUGUCUCUCAGUGGCUGCUACACACUUUUUUAUUGAACUUAAAAGUGCUUAUGUGAGGACAAUGCAGUUUUUUGAAGAACCCUGGAAUACCAUGAAAAUACCAUGGUAAUGAAUAUGCAAGAUGCAACAGAAAUGGCAUGCUUUCUUGGACAUUUACCAUGUUAGGAGCACCAUGAAAAUACCAUGG